CAUAGCUGCCCCAUCUAUUCCGCCCUGCCCUCGCCUCUCCUAGCCCUAGCGUCGUCGCCGUUGUUUCCCUUGGUGCUGGUGCUAGCGAUCUUCUCUGGUUGUCUUCUGGUGGCUCCUGACUCCAUCAUCCCCUGUGCCCUUCGCCGGUGUUGCCUCAACAUCUUGGAAUUGACGGGACAGAGGAGAAAGGAGGAGCAAAGAGGAAGAGGAGUCUGAGCAUUUGUCAAUCUCGUCAAAUUCCCUUUGAAACCGAGUUCUUCCAUACAAGAUUCGAUAAAUUCUAGUGGCGAGCGUGUGACGUCAGAUUCUUGACAAGGUUAAGGCAAGUGCAAUGACGAAUUUCUUGAUGUGUGAUUAUAUUUUUGGCUUUCUUGCUGCCCUUGGGCGACGUUUAUUCAAUGUCUUUAUUUUAUAUGUCAAUUCCUUUAAGAAUCAUGUCAUAAUUUUUUGGUUCUGUCAAAUGUUCAAGAUUCGUGUGUUGCCUUUCAUAUCAUUCAAGUGCCGGAGGUUUGUAUAAACACCGGUUGUGCAAUUUGGUUCUUAUGUUCAGGUUCCUGUGAAUAAGUGCUGGCCCCACUUAUUCGGCUUUACCGGUAAAUGCAAAGGAACUUUCAGGUGACGUCCAUUUCAGACGAAAACUACUGUUUCAUUGUUGUCCCAUGAUUUCUGGAUUUCAGUUGUUCAUGUAUUUGCAGUUGUUGUUCUGGUUCCAAAUUGUGCUUGCUGAAUAUCCCUACUCACUCUUGUGUUUAUUUGGCUUUUAGGUACUCGCUGAUCAAGUUUGCAUGGGAUGGGAGUAGCCACUUCAUGAUGACCAUGCACACAUUUUUGCAAUUCAUUAAACAAAUCUCUAGGCUGAAUAAUUUUUUUUGAUAUUGAGAACUGUCGUGUGGUCGUUUGGAUGUCGCUUAGAUUUACUUGGUCGUGUUAGUCGAUGUGGAGGGUGAUAAUAUUUAUUUAUACGAUCUUGCUAUUAUAUAACUUGUGUGCCCGCGAA